CACUUGCAUCAUGACGGGCACUAACUUUGAAAUUGUUGGAAACAAUGCAUGUGGGUCUACCUUUGCUGAAAAUAAAUUUCUGCAUAUUU